rnacentral:rRNA from 1 species
CACGUAGGGGGCGAGCGUUGUUCGGAAUUAUUGGGCGUAAAGGGUGCGCAGGCUGCAUAGGUAGUCUGAUGUAAAAUGUCUCGGCUUAACCGAGGCCUGCCAUUGGAAACUGCUAUGCUAGAGUACAGGAGGGGGAGUUGGAAUUCCAGGUGUAGGGGUGAAAUCUGUAGAUAUCUGGAGGAACAUCGGUGGCGAAGGCGAACUUCUGGCCAUGUACUGACGCUGAGGCACGAAGGCGUGGGGAGCAAACAGGUUUAGAUACC